rnacentral:lncRNA from 1 species
GGGCUUUGUAAUUAAAGUUCUACCUUGUCUCUGAUUGUUUGUUGAUAAUCACAGUUGUCAAUCAUACUAGUAUUGUAUCAAUACCCAAUUACCUAAUCAAAAUGUUUUAAAAAAAGCCUGCACAUCAACACACCUUAAUGACAUACAUUUUUGAAUGAACUGCUCUGAAAAUAUACCCAUUUUGUCAGUUUAUAUGUGUAUUAU